GGUAGUUUACAUGAACAAUUACUGGCUUCCACUUCUUUAGCGUAGCAUCCUUCCUCACAGUCUUGAAAAGGAUCUUACUGUUCAUAAACAGAUAGAAAUCCAUAGUUCUCUUGGCAGCUUGAAGUCCAUCAUACCCAGGAUGUGAAGGGAAAAAAAGCUCCUCGUUGAAAACUGCUUGGUCCCAUGAGUUAUGCUGCUUUAACAAACGAUCAGCCACCCGAUCCAAAAGCUCAAUUGAAGGAAUUGU
rnacentral:misc_RNA from 1 species